rnacentral:misc_RNA from 1 species
AGCAGCCGCGGUAAUUCCAGCUCCAAUAGCGUAUAUUAAAGUUGUUGCAGUUAAAAAGCUCGUAGUUGAAUUUCGGGGUUAGCAGGUCGGUCGUGCCAUCGGUAUGAACUGGUCUCGCUGAUCCCUCCCUCUUGACGAACUGUGAUGCCAUUAAUUUGGUGUCGCAGGGAAUCAGGACUGUUACUUUGAAAAAAUUAGAGUGUUUAAAGCAGGCUCACGCUUGAAUACAUUAGCAUGGAAUAAUGAAAUAGGACGUUUGAUCCUAUUUUGUUGGCUUCUAGGAUUGACGUAAUGAUUAAUAGGGAUAGUUGGGGGCAUUAGUAUUCAAUUGUCAGAGGUGAAAUUCUUGGAUUUAUUGAAGACUAACUACUGCGAAAGCAUUUGCCAAGGAUGUUUUCAUUAAUCAAGAACGAAAGUUAGGGGAUCGAAGACGAUCAGAUACCGUCGUAGUCUUAACCAUAAACUAUGCCGACUAGGGACCGGAUGAUGUUAAUUUUUUAAUGACUCAUUCGGCGCCUUA